UGGGGAAUAUUGGACAAUGGGCGCAAGCCUGAUCCAGCCAUGCCGCGUGGAUGAUGAAGGCCCUAGGGUUGUAAAGUCCUUUUAACGGGGAAGAUAAUGACGGUACCCGUAGAAUAAGCCCCGGCUAACUUCGUGCCAGCAGCCGCGGUAAUACGAAGGGGGCUAGCGUUGCUCGGAAUUACUGGGCGUAAAGCGCACGUAGGCGGGUCGUUAAGUCAGAUGUGAAAGCCCUGGGCUCAACCUGGGAACUGCAUUUGAAACUGGCGAGCUAGAGUUUGAGAGAGGUAAGUGGAAUUUCAGGUGUAGCGGUGAAAUGCGUAGAUAUGCGGAGGAACACCGAUGGCGAAGGCAAUCCCCUGGACCUGUACUGACGCUCAUGCACGAAAGCGUGGGGAGCAAACAGG
rnacentral:rRNA from 1 species